rnacentral:rRNA from 1 species
GCCUACGGGGCGCAGCAGUGAGGAAUAUUGGUCAAUGGCCGAGAGGCUGAACCAGCCAAGUCGCGUGAGGGAUGAUGGCCCUACGGGUUGUAAACCUCUUUUGUCGGGGAGCAAGACCCGCCUCGUGCAGGCGGAGCGAGAGUACCCGAAGAAAAAGCAUCGGCUAACUCCGUGCCAGCAGCCGCGGUAAUACGUAGGUGGCAAGCGUUAUCCGGAUUUAUUGGGUGUAAAGGGCGUGUAGGCGGGAUUGCAAGUCAGAUGUGAAAACCACGGGCUCAACCUGUGGCC